CCUUUCUCAUGUCCGCCUCUCCAGACACUGCCCCUUCCAUCCUUACUCUGCCAUUGUUCCACCUCCCGACCUGCUCCAUCUGAGCUCCCCAGCUGGUCCCUAAUUGCUCCUUUCCCUGUCUUUACUCUCCUCCUCUCUCCCCAUUCCCUCUGGUAGCCUCUUCCUCCUCACAUCUGCAUCCCAGCCUCAUGUCCUGUCCAUCCCUACCCUGCCUGAUCCCUGGGUCUCCCUCAGAUCCCCUCCUCUCAGACAGCGCCAGGCCGGGGUGGGGCCAGGGUUGGGGCCGAGCCCCACAGCUGCCCCCCUCCCCUCCCCUUUUUGUAUAAUUUAAUAAAGAAACGGUCGCGCUUCUGUUUUUAACCUGUCUCCUCCUUUCCCGGGGCAGAGGGAGGAGGGUGGCUGACAUCACAUUCCAUCAGGACCCUUUUCUUCUAUAAAAAAAAAACAGCUGUACCCUCCUACCACCCACCACUCAAGAAAACAAGAUCAGCACUCCAGGGGUGGACACGGAGGGCACAGCUUCUUUGAGAACUAACUUCUUUCCUGGUUUUGGAGUCUUGUGAAUGUACCUCCCCAACAGAACACACACACUUCCCUGGUAGCCCAAACCAGGUCUAGACACUGCUGAGCCCAGUGGAAAGCUACUAGCUCUGUUGUGCUGAACCAGGCAAAGAAGCAGCUUCAGAAACAGGAAGUCCCGCCCCUGAAGUGGGAGAGGGCUGGGAGGCCUGGGUCUCAGCCUCCUGGGACCAGAAGUGAGAGCUGUUGGGCGUCAGAUAGAUGUGUCCUCCACUUGGCACUGAGGAAGUGAGCACUUGGUCCGGCAGGGGAGAAGUCCAGGGCUCUUGUGGCUCCCAGGUCUCUGUCCUCGUCCCUCUUCUAGACUCCCUUCCUCCGCCCUAUAUCUUUGCAGAACUUUCUUUUGCCCAUUGUCCCUCCCUUCUUUCUGACCUCUUCCCUUUGGGGGGCUCAGCGUGGCCCAGGCCUAAGGGGAGAUGUGGGAGGUUCAGUUCCUGGUUCUGCUGCUUCUGCAACUGCUGUGGGUGGCUCCAGGUAAGAUGCGGCUGACUCCCUGGGAGGGUUGCCCUCCAGAUCCACGGGUGGGGUAGGGGUGGUCAGCAGGGAUGCCUGGACCUCACAGAUGCUCCAGUCCUU
rnacentral:lncRNA from 12 species